ACCCGCCAGAUUACGAACAGAAACUCGAUAUGAGGCCGAUAACUCCAGGCGAGCAGGCUGCUGACCGCGAAGCCGAACCGGAAGACGGGACAGAGGUAGAUCGAGAGCUUGGGCGGGGACA
rnacentral:autocatalytically_spliced_intron from 1 species